rnacentral:misc_RNA from 1 species
GAAAAAUACAAUACUUCAAUUGAAGAGUGUAAGAGAUACAACAUCAAAAGAAGUAGUUAAAUUCAUUAAAGUUUGAUUAUAGUAUGACAAAAAAAAAAUAAUAGACAAAAAUUAAAGAGACAUUCCAGAUUCUUCAUCUUCAUCAAGUCCAGAAGUGUAAACAGUGUAGAGAGACCAAAUCAAACCAAAUACACCUAAAAGGAUCCAACCAAGAAGAUUGUUGCUGAGUCCAAAUGGUAGCCCUGUUCCUUCAGUGCUCAUUCUUUCAUCAACCAAAGCCAUUGCUACUGGGCUUGACAUGCUUGCUGCUACUGCUGCUGCCAUCAAUGAUUCUCCCAUUCCCAACUUUGAUUCACCCUUUCCCUUUCCUUCCAUUGAACAUUUCACUUUUCCACCCUUGCUCAUUGAUGGUAAUCCAAGAACAACUGAGGUGCGAGAUACAGAUCCCCUUUGCACGAGGGCGGCACGCGCCACCGAAGAAGUUGUGGUGCAAGCAGUGAUGGUUGCCAUUUCUGUAUUAGUGAGAGAGAAUGAUCACAACUUCUAACUUUUUUUUGUUGAUAGGGCUAUUAUCAACUCAGUUUAUUUCAUACACAACCUACA